rnacentral:lncRNA from 1 species
UAAUAAGUUUACGAUUUUGCGGUCAGUUAUACAGCAUAUUUUUCGUGAUUACGUCGAGUAAUAUAGAAGAUAAAUAUUCUAUAUUGCAAGUGUGAUAUAGCAAGGGUUCAUCAUCUUCACUAUGUCACAAGAAAGAUCCACAGAGCGACCAAAACGAAGUAUAACAAAGCCUCCCCGAUAUUUAACAACAUCAGAUGAAGGACCCCCACAGAGGAGGCGCUUCGCAGCAUCUGCUGCAGCUGGUUCUAUCAAUGACGACAUAAAUGAAAUAACAAGAACCUUGGAGGAUGAAGCUACAACUUUUAAUAUAGAAACACACGUUCAACCUACAUUAAAUGCACAAUCAUUUACAAACACUAAUACUGGACAUAAUACACAAACACGUACAUACACGCCUAACAUACAGAUGCACACACACACCUCACCCAUGCAAACAUACACAAACAAAUUACCAACAUAAACACAUUUUAUAUUGAAUAAAGAAGACGGACAAAUCCUGUAUACCAAUAACAGUUUGUCUCAUGUGCGAACUCCACAGCCAGUGCAGCAGGAGAAAGGCUUCCAAUAUGGUCAAGGCAGUACAAUUUUCCCUCCGCAGGAUGACAAUCUAGAAAAAAGGAGAAGUGAAGCACUCUUGACCAGAAUGGAGCAACGCAUAAUUAACAUAGAGGUUGAAAUUAAAAAAUUAAGUGCAGGUAUAAAUAAAAUAUUAAAGUACAUUCAGGAUCGCCAAUCCGCGUUGAGAAAACCAGAAGGCUUACCUAUUACAACUAUUCAACAAAUGCAGGAGUUAGAAUAAUCAACAGAAGAAUAUUAUACCAAUGUUGUCAAUUACUUUCAUUAUAUUGGCAGCUUCACUUUGAAAGAAGCAACCAAUCUUUGCCUCAGAGAGGGUUUGCACGACUCACUGGCGCCAUCAUAUACUUGGUUCGGCCGCGACGAAGGACGUCAAUCAUUAUAUAAUACUCGGCUCGUUAAGGCCAUCUAUGAUGCUGUAUGUAGAAACAACUACUUUGCAAAACCUCACCUGGGAAACGAACGCGGUUGCAGUUAUUGCGGCGGUCACAGAACCACAGAAUGUCCGAAAUUGGAAGCCAUGCAGAAUAAGCAAGUGUCAAAUAUCGGAUGUCGCAAGCUAACAAUGCGACAGAUUACUAAAUAUUAAGAUAUUUUAUAGAUAAUUAUUGUAUGUAUAUACAAUAACAUAUACAAAAAGAUUAUAUAUAUAAUAUAUAUACAUAUAUAAAAGAUCUUUUAGUAUAUGUUAAAGCGCUGUAAAAACAAAAUAUGUUACGAGAAACAAAAUCUUAUAAAAUUGUUACAUUCGCGUUAUGUUUGCGGAAUAAUUAUGCAGAGAAUUGAUAGACAAGCGCGAAGAGUUCCUGCACUCCGCCAACUUCAAGGACUCCUUCAUUUCAUCGAAGAAA